rnacentral:misc_RNA from 1 species
CCAAUAGCGUAUAUUAAAGUUGUUGCAGUUAAAAAGCUCGUAGUUGAAUUUCGGGAUUGGCGCAUCGGUCGUGCCUCACGGGGUAUGAACUGGUGCAGUCAAUUUCUCACCUUCUGGAGAACCGCGAUGUCCUUAAUUGGAUGCCGCGGGGAACCAGGACCUUUACUUUGAAAAAAUUAGAGUGUUUAAAGAAGGCAUUUUUGCUUGAAUACAUUAGCAUGGAAUAAUAAAAUAGGACGGCAUGGUUUUAUUUUUUUGGUUUCUAGGACCACCGUAAUGAUUAAUAGGGAUAGUUGGGGGCAUUAGUAUUCAAUUGUCAGAGGUGAAAUUCUUGGAUUUAUUGAAGACUAACUACUGCGAAAGCAUUUGCCAAGGAUGUUUUCAUUAAUCAAGAACGAAAGUUAGGGGAUCGAAGACGAUCAGAUACCGUCGUAGUCUUAACCAUAAACUAUGCCGACUAGGGAUCGGAUGAUGUUAAUUUUUUAAUGACUCAUUCGGCGCCUUACG